rnacentral:rRNA from 1 species
AAAUGAAUUGACGGGGGCCCGCACAAGCGGAGGAGCAUGUGGCUUAAUUCGAUGCAACGCGAAGAACCUUACCCGGGUUUGACAUGUAACUGCACGUCCUGUGAAAGCAGGAUUCCUUCGAGGGUGUUACACAGGUGCUGCAUGGCUGUCGUCAGUUCGUGCCGUGAGGUGUUUGGUUAAGUCCAGCAACGAACGCAACCCCUGUGUCCAAUUGCCAGCGAGUAAUGUCGGGAACUUUGGACAGACUGCCUAUUUACAUAGGAGGAAGGUGGGGACGACGUCAAGUCAGUAUGGCCCUUACAUCCGGGGCUGCACACGUGCUACAAUGGCCGGUACAGUGGGAAGCGAAGUCGCGAGGCGGAGCAAAUCCAUAAAACCGGUCUCAGUUCGGAUUGUAGUCUGCAACUCGACUACAUGAAGUCGGAUUCGCUAGUAACGGCGUAUCAGCUACGACGCCGUGAAUACGUUCCCGGGCCUUGCACACACCGCCCGU